CGCCUGUCAGAGCGUGGAAUGUAAGCCCUUCUGCGCACUUAUUUUUAUUCCGGGGGCCUUUCUUCCUCGUCCUCCUCCUCUAUUUUUUCCCCUUCUGUUCAGCUAUUUGUGUUUUCUGAUCGGAGGUUCUAAGAGCUUCAAGAAAAGUCAUCCUUUCCAGGUAGAACAGUCAAAGAGGGUGGACAAGAACCUUGCUUUCUCUUUUCUCCAUUUCUGGCCACACCAAGAGGGAGGAGAUGAUUUGUGAGUAGUGGAGAGUGCUGGACUCUGGGCUUCGACGAUUUUCUGAUGCGAAGAUUCAGCUGCCUGGGGGAGAUGCAGGGCGGUGGCCCGAUUCCCGGGGAGUCACAAAGUAGGCAGUCAUCAAGUGAGAGAUGGGGGACCCUAGAGUCGGAGGUGGAGGAAUCACAGAGAGGGAAGGUGGGGGAUCAGCAAGUCAAAAAAGGGAGAAUCCUAGAAUCCGAAGGUGGGGUAUUCUAGAGUCAGAAGGUGGGGAGGGCGGGUAUCAUAGAACCAGAAUGUAGGAGUGCUGCAGAGACCGAUUUCAAAUGAAAGAAAUAUCAGAGUAGCUACCUUCAGAUGACCCCUCCCUAGGGACUGAGGGCGCAGGCGGCCAGGCCUCCACGAACACCCCACAGACAGCGGAUUCAGCCUUCCGGCUGAUGGUGCAGCCUCUGCACGCUUGCCUUAGCGCCACCCCCAAUUAUUCCACUUCUCGGGCCAGUGUUUCCUGAGGUUCGCCAGCAAGAAUCCACCCAGCAAUUAUCUCCCCUCUCGCGCUCAUGGGGGGACAUUAACCACGAACGCGCUGGAGAAGAAAGCCCACUCCCUGCGUGUGCGGGAGUGUGACUCUGAAGUCACGGAGCCACCUGCAGCCGGGUCUUGUGGAUUUCCGACGCGGGGCCCGCUGAGGAGGGAAAAGUGCCCCUGUG